rnacentral:lncRNA from 1 species
CAACUGGCCCACCCAAGUCAGCCAACUCUAAAUGCCUUCAAAAGAACAACUUGUGUGGACGAGCUUGUCAGCCAGCCCUGUACUGUGCCACCUGCCAGGGUGAGGGGUAGGCAGUGAACCCACAAAUGAGCCCCCAGCCUUUCAGCACGUGACCUGUUCCAAACUUGAGCCCAGAGUAAGCUUACAUAACUUGACAGAAGGGCCCGGGACAAAGUCUGUGAGCUCAGAAAGCUCUUCGACUGAAAAAGCCAACACGUAACUGGAGCAACCUCGUUACUUUGUGCAGAGUUCUCAAUGAUGAAAGCAUGCUGAUGUUUUUAUUCAUGCUCGCUGAUUUAAUCAAGGGGCUGGAAUUUUAUUUUCCUCACCAGCAGAGGAUGAGUGGGCGUCAUUGCAUCGAAGCCAGUUCCCCUCCGUCUACCAGGCUGACACCCAAACGUGUGGAGCCGCCUG